AUGUGUUGUUGGUGAUGACAUUCACCUCGAGGUGAUGCGGUGUCAUGUUACCUGUGUAUCCUGGUUUCUAGCUAUUGAGCUUAAAACAUGUGGAUUAUCGGUUAGUGACACGGCAUCGCUCCCUUGGUUGAUGAAAGUCAUCCAAUGAUGCAGUGGCUUGUUUGUUUUGUUCUCGCAUCGCUCGGUGCAUUCUGUGGUCAUUUUGGCUGUUGGUGGCUUGCUUGGCAAUUAAGCUUGGUGGGUUGCUACUGGUUGGGUGUCUACGGGGAUGUCUACCGUAAAGGUGCAUGAGUGGUGUUUGGUUUGUUACGGGUGGUUGGCUCUUUGCUUGCGCAACAACUUCCACCCGGCAUACCUCUUCAGUCUUGUGUCAAUGCUUGUAUUGCAUUGAAUGCACGGCGGGUUUCUUGUGUUGCAUGCCUAAUUAAUGGUAUCGUUUGAUGAAUUGGUUUUCCUUUCGUCUUGCGUCGCCUAUGCGAUGUGAGAUGAACCUUGAAGCAGCCUUUGUGAUCCUCUCUUUUGAUGCAUACGCAUUGAUUUUGUGGCCCAUUGAGUGUUGCUUGGUCUCAUGGAUAUGGAACAUGGUGUGGGCUUGGAAUCGUAAUGGUUCCUUGUUUGCCCAAGUUUAGCUUUUCUAAAACGAUUGUCUAUCA
rnacentral:misc_RNA from 1 species